CCGGUGGACGAGAGGGUUGCCUCAAUGUGACUUAGGGUUGCAGAGAGGAAAACUUUGACUGUUGUGUGUGCUUAUGCCUUAUGCUUAGCCUUCUUGGAGAAGGUGGGUGGGGUUCUGGACAGGGCCCCACCUACAGACUCCAUAGUCCUGCUGGGGUACUUCAACGCUCACGUUGUCAAUGACUGGGAAAUCUGGCGGGGGGUGAUUUGGAAGAACGGCUUGCCCAAUCUGAACCCGAUUGGUGAAAUGUUAUUGGACUUCUGUACUAGUCAUGGUUUGUCCAUAACAAACACCAUGCUCGAACACAAGGAUGCUCAUAAGUGUACUUGGUACCAGAGCUCCUUGGGCCAAAGGUCAAUGAUUGACUUUGUAGUCGUUUCUUCUGACUUGAGGCCACAUGUUCCUGACACUCGGGUGAAGAGUGGUGUUGAGCUGUCAACUGAUCACCAUCUGGUGGUGAGUUGGAUCAGAUGGCGGGGAAAGCUGAUGUAUAGACCCGGUAGGCCCAGACGUUUAAUGAAGGUGUGCUGGGAACGACUGUCAGAGGACCUUGUCGGGAAUGAUUUUAACUCACACCUCCGGCAGAGCUUCUCCCAUGUCCCGGAGGAGGUAGGGGACAUGGAGUCUGAAUGGACCCUGUUCAAAACCUCCAUUGUGGAAGCAGCCAAGCACAGCUGUGGCCAAAAGCUUGUUGGUGCUAGCCAGGGCGGCAACUCAAGAACCUGCUGGUGGACACCGGUGGUGAGGGAAGCCGUCAAGGUGAAGAAGGAGGCCUUUAGGGUCUGGUUGGCUCUGGGGAUUCCUGACUCAGCAGACAGGUACCGGCAGGCGAAAAAGGCAGCAGCAGCUGUGGUUGCAGAAGCAAAAUCCUGGGCAUGGGAGGAAUUUGGAGACGCCAUGGAAAACGACUAUCGGUCGGCUUCAAAGAGGUUCUGGAGAACCAUCCAGCAGCUCAGAAGGGGUCAGAGGAGUUUCACUCAGGCUGUGUUUAUCAGGAGUGGAGAAACUCUGACCUCUGAUGAGGACAUUGUCCGGAGGUGGAAGGAGCACUUUGAAGAACUCUUAAACUCGAGUGAUAUGCACCGUCACAUGAUUGCCUCCAGCACGCACUGGAACGGUUUGCAGCCGAGUGUGAAGC
rnacentral:lncRNA from 1 species